UGGGGAAUAUUGCACAAUGGGGGGAACCCUGAUGCAGCGACGCCGCGUGAGUGAAGAAGUAUUUCGGUAUGUAAAGCUCUAUCAGCAGGGACGAAGAUGACGGUACCUGCAGAAGAAGCCCCGGCUAACUACGUGCCAGCAGCCGCGGUAAUACGUAGGGGGCAAGCGUUAUCCGGAUUUACUGGGUGUAAAGGGAGCGUAGACGGCAGGGCAAGCCAGAAGUGAAAACGCAGAGCUUAACUUUGCGACUGCUUUUGGAACUGCCCAGCUAGAGUACAGGAGAGGUAAGUGGAAUUCCUAGUGUAGCGGUGAAAUGCGUAGAUAUUAGGAGGAACACCAGUGGCGAAGGCGGCUUACUGGACUGAGACUGACGUUGAGGCUCGAAAGCGUGGGGAGCAAACAGG
rnacentral:rRNA from 1 species